rnacentral:rRNA from 1 species
AUGAGAACCAAUACUACUACUUCUCCUCCCGGGGUUUCCACAAUUGAAGAAAAAAGUACAUGUCAUAUCAAUCAAAUUGUUGGACCCGUGCUGGAUGUCACUUUCCCCCCAUGCAAGUUACCUUAUAUUUAUAACACUUUGGUAGUCCAUAAUAGAGAUACUGCCGAUAAGCAAAUUAAUGUGACUUGUGAGGUACAAAAAUUAUUAGGAGAUAAUCAAGUUAGAGUUGUAGCUAUGAGUGCUACACACGGGUUGAUGAGAGGAAUGGAAUGUUGGGAUCUAUGGUAG